ACUCGCGGAACGGCACUGAGCAUGCUCAGUUGCCGGAGCCCGUUCUGGUCUCAAGUAGGAAGCUAGUGCGCUGUAACCGCAUCUGAUCUGGGCGCUCCGGGAAGGGCGAGACUGGAGCAGAGCCGCUGGGCGCCGGAGCCGAGGCGAGCGCCGCGCGCACCACUGGUUGGAGUUGCUGUGGGUGAGCUGCUGUGGUCUGUAGCCAAGCAUGCUGUGGUCGGAUCUGCCCAGCCGUGGAACAGAAACAUUUGCUGGAUGGAAAAUCCAUAAAAGAAAGCUCCUGUGAAAAGCUGAGGCUGACAAUAAUUUAAGCAAAAUCAGGAUCUUGCUCCAUCACCCAGGCUGGAGUGCGUGGUACAAUCAUGGCUCACUGCAGCCUUGAUCUCCCAGGCUCAACUGAUCUUCCUUCCUCAGCCUCCUGAAUAGCUGGGACCACAGAUCGAUCUCUUUGGGCUGCCUGACCUCCUUGGGUGCUUGCUAUUAAUUAACAGACUUUGUGGGGAAAAAAAGGAGCUUGCCUUCUGAGCUUUGUACCAAAGACCUGGGAAAAAUUUCAAAUUAUAAC
rnacentral:lncRNA from 1 species